AUUGAAACACCAGUUCUCGUUUGAUCACCAAAGUUAAGCAAUGUCGAGCCUGGUCAGUACCUAGUUGGGUAACUGCUUAGGAAUACAAGCUGCUGUAA